UUCGUACUGAGCUCAAGUACCGUUGUUUUAUAGACACGAGCGGCCUUCAGCACUGACAUGGCCAGUCACGCUGUACUUGCCGCGCUGCUUAUCGCCAGCGGGACCACAAUCGGCGGGGGAAGUCCUGAAUCAUGUGGCAUAGGACAGGACCGACUCAUUUCGCUCCGAAACUUUCUCGAAGCAGAUGAGCACUCGGGGUCGGCUACGCGCACCUUCAUGCCCUACAUCACCGGAGUGAGAAUAAAGGAACAUCUGCCGAACAGAGAGAGAAGGGCCGCCAAUGAUGUGGAUCCAUCAGGAAAUAUUGGAGAUCGAAACAAAAUAUUAAAUUGCGAGAAAGAGGGCUACUCAUGUCUUUCGAGGGAAGUGUGCAAAAAUUACAUGUUCAUACCCUUUUUAUUCGGCUGCACCGACGGAAAGGUGUGCUGCGAGAAGACCAGAGGCACCAGCUGCCUCACAGGAGCCGCUUACCACGGAGUAUGCGUGUCCAAAACAAGCCUUGAUAACUGUAUCUCAAGAGAGCCCACCAGCGACUGCCCGCUUAGCCAAGUAUGCUGCCGAAAUUAAAGCAAGCGGAGCGCAGCGAAUCGGCCGUCAUUCACCGACCAGAUUAAAGGAAGGUUGCACGGCACACGCCAAGCUACACAGAUCUAAUUGUUUUUCAUUAGUGCAAAAGCAGCGGGUGCAUCGAUGAACAGAAAGAAAACGCUUAGUGCACUCAUCCUUCAAGCCGUAGUACUUGCAGGCUUCAAAGCAUUAUUGUAGCUUAGCACAUAGGUAAUUAUUUAAACAUUCUUCCAUACCAUGGGCGGUAUUCUGACCAACUUUUCGUUUUUCUUUAUGCAGACUCUUGCACAAACGUACUGACGUCGGUGUUACAUACAUUAAGCAAUGAAGGAUAAAAUGAACACUUUAAUGACGGCACCAGAAAAGCUCUUCAUUUUCGCAUUUGGUGGAACUUGUCAGAAAGAAAAAAAUAUUGAUAAGAAGCGAUAUUAAUUUUUAGUUCAGAAAUAAUUGUUACGGAGAUUACGGAAUUUAGAAGCGUUAUGAUCAGACAGAUGUAAUCUGAAGGUAAUUCUAUAAUCGGAUAGCUCGCAGCAGGGCCGAUGGGUUAGAAGCAUCUGUAUUUCCGUAAAUACGCGCGGCGCUGAUGUCACAGUGUAAACUGCGUGAUGACCGAUUGGAGGGUUUAAAAUGAACAUAUACUACUACUGUGAACAAGUUUGUGAUAUAAUGAUAAUAUGACAGUGUCACAUCAGACGGUUAAUGGCUGAAGUGAUGGAUGCAGUAUAGUUUGUGUUACACGUGAUUGAAAACUGUAAUUACCUGAAAUAAAUCUACUGGCCCUGCUUUGAA